UACAGAGGUCCCAAGCGUUGUUCGGAUUUACUGGGCGUAAAGCGUGCGUAGACGGCUAUCUAAGUCGGGUGUGAAAGCCCCGGGCUCAACCUGGGAAUUGCAUUCGAGACUGAAUAGCUAGGGUGCGGUAGAGGGAAGCGGAAUUUCCGGUGUAGCGGUGAAAUGCGUAGAUAUCGGAAGGAACAUCAGUGGCGAAAGCGGCUUCCUGGACCAGCACCGACGUUCAGGCACGAAAGCGUGGGGAGCAAACAGG
rnacentral:rRNA from 1 species